AUUGAACGCUGGCGGCAGGCCUAACACAUGCAAGUCGAGCGGUAGAGAGGUGCUUGCACCUCUUGAGAGCGGCGGACGGGUGAGUAAUGCCUAGGAAUCUGCCUGGUAGUGGGGGAUAACGCUCGGAAACGGACGCUAAUACCGCAUACGUCCUACGGGAGAAAGCAGGGGACCUUCGGGCCUUGCGCUAUCAGAGGAGCCUAGGUCGGAUUAGCUAGUUGGUGAGGUAAUGGCUCACCAAGGCGACGAUCCGUAACUGGUCUGAGAGGAUGAUCAGUCACACUGGAACUGAGACACGGUCCAGACUCCUACGGGAGGCAGCAGUGGGGAAUAUUGGACAAUGGGCGAAAGCCUGAUCCAGCCAUGCCGCGUGUGUGAAGAAGGUCUUCGGAUUGUAAAGCACUUUAAGUUGGGAGGAAGGGUCGUUACCUAAUACGUGACGAUUUUGACGUUACCGACAGAAUAAGCACCGGCUAACUCUGUGCCAGCAGCCGCUGUAAAAC
rnacentral:rRNA from 1 species